UGGCAAUGCUGUCGACAAAAACAGGCGAACUACUUCUUCUAACGAUUAUAUAUGAUGGGAGAAUUGUCCAAAAGCUCGACCUUUCAAAAUCAAGAGCUUCAGUACUUACAUCGGGAAUUACAACAAUUGGAGACUCAUUAUUCUUUUUGGGCAGUCGUCUUGGUGAUAGUUUGCUCGUGCAAUUUUCUAGUGGUCUUGGAGGGUCAAAUUUGCCUCCUGGGGUGCAGGAAGAGGUUGGAGAUAUUGAAAGUGAUGCUCCUUCUGCAAAGAGGCUAAGAAUGUCAUCCUCGGACGCAUUGCAAGACAUGAUUAAUGGUGAAGAGCUUUCCUUGUAUGGUACAGCUCCAAAUAAUGCACAAUCAGCACAGAAGACAUUCUCAUUUGCAGUGAGGGAUUCCCUGAUCAAUGUUGGCCCUCUAAAAGACUUUUCGUAUGGUAUGAGAAUUAAUGCUGACCUGAAUGCUACUGGAAUUGCCAAGCAAAGUAAUUAUGAACUGGUAUGCUGUUCAGGUCAUGGAAAGAAUGGUUCUCUGAGUGUGCUUCAGCAAUCAAUCCGCCCAGAAACGAUCACCCAAGAAGCUUUACCAGGUUGCAAGGGAAUUUGGACUGUCUACCACAAGAAUACACGUAUCCAUCUCAGCGAAUCCUCAAGGAUGGCAGAUGAAGAAGAUGAAUAUCAUGCAUAUUUGAUUAUUAGUUUGGAGGCUCGUACAAUGGUUCUGCAGACUGCAAAUAAUUUGGAGGAGGUAACAGAGAAUGUCGAUUACUAUGUUCAAGGAACUACUCUUGCUGCUGGAAAUCUUUUUGGGAGACGCCGAGUUAUCCAAGUGUUUGCUCAUGGUGCUCGAAUUCUUGAUGGUGCAUUUAUGACUCAAGAAUUGAGUUUUAAGGCUUCAAAUGUGGAAUCUGGCUCGAGUUCAGAUACUUCUAUUGUAGCUUCUGUUUCUAUAGCGGAUCCUUAUGUUCUACUAAGAAUGACAAAUGGAAGUCUUCAGCUUCUUGUUGGAGAUCCAUCAUCAUGCUCUGUUUCUCUUA
rnacentral:misc_RNA from 1 species